CCUGCUCGGGGGAGAAGCCACCAAUGGAGUAAGUUACCUCCUAGCAGCUGGGGAAAGGGCCACAGGAUAGAGCUCAGCUCUCACCCCACUCAACACCAAAGCUGUCCUGGACCCAGACGGUCCUGAGCUCUGGAGGCCUGGGAGCCACGCCCUUGACCAGCCUUGAGACCUCAAGCAAGACAAGACGACCAUUCUGAGGCUGAGUUUCCAGCUCUGCAAAGACAUGAAACCCUCAACUGGGCUGGAUGUUGUAGUGGUGACACUGAAGUAGUGACACCAGACGAUUUCUGUACUUAUUGUGAUGUCGGUACUUAGUAAACAUUCAUAUGUGAGUUAUCAUUUUUAUUGAUAAGAGAGGGGAGUGCAGAACGCUCUUAAUGACCUCGCCUCUUAUCAACACCCCCUUCUCUUCUUUCCCCAGCCCCUGCCUCCAGAGAUCCUGAGUUUUAAAGCUCUAAUUGAUGGGAUGCUUCCUCUGCGCCAGCGCCUGGGCAGGUGAAAAUCUCACCCGUGGCCGGCGGCUACCGUGCUGGACAGCACAGGUGCGGACAGAGGAACCCUGGGAGCCGCAGGUUUCAGCUUUGGGGAAAGGAGGAUGAACUAGCAAAGGCGGCCAAGAAAGAACAGCCUGAAAGGCAGGAGACCCCAGGCUGCCGGGUGACCAGGAUGGCAAGAAUGGGCUCCAGGGAAGAGCACGUAGCCCUGGGUCACUGCGCCGAGCCUGAGCCGAGGACCGAGAUGAGAACCGUGGUUGACUCAGCAACGUGGAGCCAUUCCUACCAAGCUUGCUCCCAUUCUGCUGGGACAGGGACACUGAGUGGCAGGGGCAGCAGCCACCGGGGCAGGUUUUGUGGAUGCUCAGAGAAGCGGCACUGCUUGCUUAGUCACACCGCAAAAAAAAAAAAAAAAAAAAAAAAA